CUAUCUAAUCUUGCACAAAUAGCUGAAAUAUCGUUGCCAUCAAUUCCUGAAAUUACUUUAACUGAAAACACAUCUGAAAUAGAAGAAAUGGCAGAGAAUUCGAUUGAUAAAGAAAUGGAAAAGAUGAUUAUUCAAUGUUGCUCUGAAAUAAAGGCUCUGUUUCUGUCUGAUAGAGAGACAACACCACUAUCUGAGGUCCCAUUUGAUAUCUCACUGCCAUCUAUAUUCAGUCUUGAGAGACUUUUUGAUCUUGCUAAUGGUUGUAUCCUAUUGGGAGGAAGCCUUUUCAACUGGAUAGUGUCGGUGAUUCCCUGAACAUCUCUUGCACGGGAUGAAUAAAACUGAGAAAUACAUCAAGAGUGUGACAUCAGACUGAAGAACUUUUCAGCAGUAUCUGUUAGCCUUUGGAAAUUUGGUGAGAAGAAAUAGUCAUGAUUCAAUAUCUUGCUUACAUAGAAGGCUCCAGUUCAGACUUGGAUCUUGCCCCAUCUGAUUUCUUACGAUGUAUUCAAAUACUCCAGAUAUUGCUCUGAGUUUUUGCUGUUUCUCAACUGGCCUUCUGCCUUCAACUGGCCUUCAAAAGUGUUUUAGCUCCCAGUAGGGCAGUUUAACCACUUUCUCCCCUGUUACUUCCAGAUCUGUAUAUCUCUUUAGCUUGCUCUCAGUUUGUCUGACUGAUCUAUUUCCUUACCAAGUUGCUCUGGCUUCCCCACUCGUUCCUGUGUUUUGAAAAGAAUAAAUUAAAACUGCAUUCCAAUAAAAAUUUAUAUGCAUGUGUA